rnacentral:rRNA from 1 species
AUGGGCAAGAAGCUCGCCCUCGCCUCCCUCUUCUUUGCUGGCGGCAGCGUCGAUUCCGCCGCCGCCGGGAGCCUAUCGCCUCCCUACUCUCCUUCGCCGUCCGUUUCCGCCGUGUCCAACGGCAGCACGGCCGCCUCGUGGCAAUGGCCCUCCUGCGCGCAGGCCAGGACCGCGUCCUUCGACGGCCGCAGCAGCGUGGAGGCGGAGGCGUCGUCGUCGGCGUGGGCGCGCCGGGACGGCUGCAGGACGACCCGCGUGAUCACGAACCCGGCCUACUGCGACGACGACACGGCCGACAGCUCCUUCGUCUCCGCCACCGCCUCCUCCUCGGCUUCCACCACGGCGCCGGAGCCGGAGCCCUGGGUCGAGGAGGCGGUCAUCCGCGGGAUCCGGGCGUCGAGCCGGCUCUUCUUCGAGCCCGAGGCGACGAAAUCCAUCGUGACGGCGAGCAAGGCGGCGUUCGGCGGGGCGACGGCGCUGGCCAUCGACUCGGCGGACCCGUACGGCGACUUCCGGCGGUCCAUGGAGGAGAUGGUGCUGAGCCGCGGCGGGGACGACGACUGGGGGUGGCUGGAGGAGAUGCUGGGGUGGUACCUCCGCGCCAACGGCAAGAAGACCCACGGCCUCAUCGUCGGCGCCUUCGUCGACCUGCUCGUCGGCCUCUCCGCCGUCAACAACAAGCAGAGCGGCCGGUGCUAG